AACGACUCUUGACAACGGAUAUCUCGGCUCUCGCAUCGAUGAAGAACGUAGCGAAAUGCGAUACUUGGUGUGAAUUGCAGAAUCCCGUGAACCAUCGAGUYUUUGAACGCAAGUUGCGCCCGAAGCCAUUAGGCUGAGGGCACGUCUGCCUGGGUGUCACAC
rnacentral:rRNA from 1 species